AAGGAAUAUUGGUCAAUGGACGAAAGUCUGAACCAGCCAUGCCGCGUGAAGGAUGAAGGUCCUCUGGAUUGUAAACUUCUUUUAUCUGGGACGAAAAAAGGGAAUUCUUUCUCACUUGACGGUACCAGAAGAAUAAGCACCGGCUAACUCCGUGCCAGCAGCCGCGGUAAUACGGAGGGUGCAAGCGUUAUCCGGAUUCACUGGGUUUAAAGGGUGCGUAGGUGGGCAGUUAAGUCAGUGGUGAAAUCUCCGGGCUUAACCCGGAAACUGCCAUUGAUACUAUCUGUCUUGAAUACUCUGGAGGUAAGCGGAAUAUGUCAUGUAGCGGUGAAAUGCUUAGAUAUGACAUAGAACACCGAUUGCGAAGGCAGCUUACUACGGAGUCAUUGACACUGAGGCACGAAAGCGUGGGGAUCAAAC
rnacentral:rRNA from 1 species